rnacentral:rRNA from 1 species
GAUCCUGGCUCAGGACGAACGCUGGCGGCGUGCUUAACACAUGCAUGUCGAACGAAAAUACCAAGCUUGCUUGGUUGAUUAGUGGCGAACGGGUGAGUAACACGUGAGUAACCUGCCCCCUUACUUUCCUGGAUAACUGCUCGAAAGGGUAGCUAAUACGGGAUAUUCUGACUAGCCUGCAUGGGUUGGUUUGGAAAGGUUGUUUUUCUGGUAAGGGAUGGGCUCGCGGCCUAUCAGCUUGUUGGUGGGGUGA